ensembl:lncRNA
GUGGAAAGCCGCCUGCUGUGAGCUUGCUGAACCGGUGUAUUUCUCAGGUCACUGGAUGACGGCUUUGGCAGAAACAAAUAGCAGGUAGUUGGAGAAUCUGGCAAUAUGAAACACUGAGAAUUCCAGGGACGGGGGAGCCUGGUGGGCUGCCAUUUAUGGGGUUGCACAGAGUCGGACACGACUGAAGCGACUUAGCAGCAGCAGCAGCAGCAAGUUUAAGAAACAAAACCAUAGUUUCCUUGGAUGUUCAGAAAAGUGUAAAGCAAUCUCUCCUUUCAAUUAAAGUUCUUUUUCUUUCUUUCUUUUCUCUCU